AACGAACGCUGGCGGCAGGCCUAACACAUGCAAGUCGAACGGAUCCUUCGGGAUUAGUGGCGGACGGGUGAGUAACACGUGGGAACGUGCCCUUGGUUCGGAACAACUCAGGGAAACUUGAGCUAAUACCGGAUGUGCCCUUCGGGGGAAAGAUCUAUCGCCAUUGGAGCGGCCCGCGUCUGAUUAGCUAGUUGGUGAGGUAAAGGCUCACCAAGGCGACGAUCAGUAGCUGGUCUGAGAGGAUGAUCAGCCACAUUGGGACUGAGACACGGCCCAAACUCCUACGGGAGGCAGCAGUGGGGAAUCUUGCGCAAUGGGCGAAAGCCUGACGCAGCCAUGCCGCGUGAAUGAUGAAGGUCUUAGGAUUGUAAAAUUCUUUCACCGGGGACGAUAAUGACGGUACCCGGAGAAGAAGCCCCGGCUAACUUCGUGCCAGCCGCCGCCGUAACAC
rnacentral:rRNA from 1 species